GAAAUGCGAUACGUAUUGUGAAUUGCAGAUCAGUGAACCAUCGAAUCUUUGAACGCACCUUGCGGCCGCCGGCAUCCCGGCGGCCAUGCCCGUCCGAGCGUCAUCUCAACCCCUCGGGCUUAGUGCCCGGCCUUGGGCGCCCAGGCCUGGCCUGGCGCCCUAAUUCUAGCGGCGGUGGCGUCCCGUAGGCUUCGCGUAGUGCUUCGUCUCGCGGCGGCCACGGGGCGCCCCCUGCCCCAGCUCUCCACCGCUUGACCUCGGAUCGGGUAGGGAUACCCGCUGAACUUAA
rnacentral:misc_RNA from 1 species